CCUACGGGAGGCUGCAGUGAGGAAUAUUGGUCAAUGGCCGGAAGGCUGAACCAGCCAUGCCGCGUGAAGGUCAGUGCCCUAUGGGCGUUAAACUUCUUUUGUGCGGGAGCAAUAAUGGUCACGUGUGGCCAGACGAGAGUACCGUACGAAUAAGCAUCGGCUAACUCCGUGCCAGCAGCCGCGGGAAUACGGGGGAUGCAAGCGUUAUACGGAUUUAUUGGGUUUAAAGGGUGGGUAGGCUGGGAGGGAAGUCAGCGGUGAAAUGCCGCCGCUCAACGGGGUGAAGUGCCAUUGAUACUGCCUUGCUGGAGUGCGGAUGCCGUAGGAGGAAUGUGUGGUGUAGCGGUGAAAUGCAUAGAUAUCACACAGAACACCGAUUGCGAAGGCAGCUCACGAGUCCGCGAUUGACGGUGAUGCACGAAAGCGUGGGUAUCAAACAGGAUUAGAUACCCCGGUAGUC
rnacentral:rRNA from 1 species